ACGGCUCAGUAACACGUAGUUAAUCUGCCCUUGAGUCAGGGAUAUCCUCGGGAAACUGAGGGUAAUACCUGAUAGGAGUUCUUCUCUGGAAAGAAAGUACUUUCAAAUUCGUGCUCAAGGAUGAGACUGCGGCUGAUUAGCUAGUUGGCGGGGUAAAGGCCCACCAAGGCGAUGAUCAGUAGGGGCUCUUAGCGGAGUCGCCCCGAGAGGGAGUCUGAGACACUACUCCCAGCUCUACGGAGUGCAGCAGCUAUGAAUCUUCUGCAAUGCGCGCAAGCGUGACAGAGCGAGCCAAAGUGUUUAUCUUUUUGAUAAACUUUUGCCAGCUGUAAAAAGGCUGGCGAAUAAGGACUGGGUAAGAUCGGUGCCAGCCGCCGCGGUAAUCCCGACAGUCCAAGUCGCAACCAACAUUAUUGGGUCUAAAACAUCCGUAGCUUGCUUAGUAAGUCUUUUGUCAAAUCCUGCAUCUCAAGUGUAGGGCGCGCAGAAGGUACUACUGAGCUAGAGACCGGUAGGUGUAAGAAGUACGUUCAAGGUAGUAGUAAAAUACGUUAAUCUUGAAUGGACUCACAAUUAGCGAAGGCACCGUACAAGGACGGAUCUGACAGUGAGGGAUGAAGGCCAAGGGCGCAAAAGGGAUUAGAUACCCCUGUAGUCUUGGCAGUAAACACUGCUCACUAAACAUCGGGGCCUCUUCGGGAGGUUUCGGUGCUGUAGGGAAGCUGCAAAGUGAGCUACCUGGGAAGUAUAGUCGCAAGAUCGAAACUUAAAGGAAUUGGCGGGGGAGCAC
rnacentral:rRNA from 1 species